AACGCUAGCUACAGGCUUAACACAUGCAAGUCGAGGGGCAGCGAGGGAGUGCUUGUACUUCUGUCGGCGACCGGCGCACGGGUGAGUAACACGUAUGCAACCUGCCCUUGUCAGGGGGAUAAGCGAGGGAAACCUCGUCUAAUACCGCAUAUAUGGUUUUGAGGCAUCUCUUAAUCAGGAAAGAAUUAUCGGACAAGGAUGGGCAUGCGGGACAUUAGGUAGUUGGGGGUGUAACGGACCACCAAGCCGACGAUGUCUAGGGGUUCUGAGAGGAAGGUCCCCCACACUGGUACUGAGACACGGACCAGACUCCUACGGGAGGCAGCAGUGAGGAAUAUUGGUCAAUGGGCGAGAGCCUGAACCAGCCAAGUCGCGUGAAGGAAGAAGGAUCUAUGGUUCGUAAACUUCUUUUGCAGGGGAAUAAAGUGCAGGACGUGUCCUGUUUUGUAUGUACCCUGAGAAUAAGGAUCGGCUAACUCCGUGCCAGCAGCCGCGGUAAUACGGAGGAUCCGAGCGUUAUCCGGAUUUAUUGGGUUUAAAGGGUGCGUAGGUGGUUUGAUAAGUCAGCGGUGAAAGUUUGCAGCUUAACUGUAAAAAUGCCGUUGAAACUGUCGGACUUGAGUGUAAAUGAGGUAGGCGGAAUGCGUGGUGUAGCGGUGAAAUGCAUAGAUAUCACGAAGAACUCCGAUUG
rnacentral:rRNA from 1 species